ensembl:lncRNA
CCGGGCCCCGCCCACCCGCGGCUGCGGCAAACGAGGGCCCGCCCUCCGGCCACGCCCCCCAGAGCCGCCAAUCCCCGGGCUGGGGCGGGGCGCAGUGCCUUAACCCCUUCGUGUCUGCGUCCCGGCCCCCGCGUGGGACCCCUCUGUCCCACCCACUCCAGGGGGCAGUGAGCCUGCCCCGAGCCUUUCUGCUCGUCGUCUGUUACUCCCCAAGCCCUUGGGCUCAGCCCCUAGUCUCUCCUUUCCAAUGAAACCAGUGUGACCGCGCCCUCCGCCACAUCUUUGGCGACCGAGAGGAGCCCCUCUCGCUUGGGGAAGGGUCUCCGGACGCUGAGCCCCGAGCCCCAUUCGUCUCCCGCUGUUGCUCUUCCGGACGCGGCCUCCCAGCGGAUGCUGUGAGACCCUGCAAGUCUGCACGCUGGGGGCGGGGCGAGCCGUCGCGAGUGGAUCUGACACUGCCGAGCGAAGACCGCCCGGGCGCAGGGACCGCAGCCGCGCGUGCGGGAGACUUCGAGUGGCCGUGACUCCGCUCGUCAGGAAACGCAGCGGGUUUGAAACUUGUUGCUUGCGGAGGGUCGCCGUCCGCGGGAAAGGGCGGACGACGAGGAAAAAGACAUUACAAUCCAGCAGGGUUUGAGUGCUUUCACCCUGUGCCCCGCACCUGACACGAGGCCCGGCCCGGGCCCGCACGCUGCAUCCGGGGAUCCAUCUUUCACUUGACUGGUGGUUUCAGGGAAGACCCUGCAUGUAAUGUUUUUCUAAGCCUUUACCCUAGGUAGGUAAGAAGGCCUUUCUACUAUCUUUGCACACAAAUGGUGGCUUGACUGUUACAGAAUUCUUGAGUCUCAAACUUUUCCCCUCAAGACUCUUGUCCUUAUUCCAUUGUCUUUUGGCUUUCAAAAUGGUACAAGUACACCUGAAACUAAUA